rnacentral:snoRNA from 1 species
AUUCCAUGAUGAGGGCAUGCAGUGAUGUACUCUUGGAGGUGCUCCCAUACCUCCGAUAUGGACUCAUCAUUCUGCUGGAAACUGAUAUCUUGUUCCGGAGGGC